rnacentral:rRNA from 1 species
UGCUGGAGGUAUCAGAAGUGCGAAUGCUGACAUAAGUAACGAUAAAGCGGGUGAAAAGCCCGCUCGCCGGAAGACCAAGGGUUCCUGUCCAACGUUAAUCGGGGCAGGGUGAGUCGACCCCUAAGGCGAGGCCGAAAGGCGUAGUCGAUGGGAAACAGGUUAAUAUUCCUGUACUUGGUGUUACUGCGAAGGGGGGACGGAGAAGGCUAUGUCAGCCGGGCGACGGUUGUCCCGGUUUAAGCAUGUAGGCGGAGGUUCCAGGUAAAUCCGGUACCUUAUUAACGCUGAGGUGUGAUGACGAGGCACUACGGUGCUGAAGUGAUAAAUGCCCUGCUUCCAGGAAAAGCCUCUAAGCAUCAGGUAACACGAAAUCGUACCCCAAACCGACACAGGUGGUCAGGUAGAGAAUACCAAGGCGCUUGAGAGAACUCGGGUGAAGGAACUAGGCAAAAUGGUGCCGUAACUUCGGGAGAAGGCACGCUGAUAUGUAGGUGAAGUCCCUGCGGACGGAGCUGAAAUCAGUCGAAGAUACCAGCUGGCUGCAACUGUUUAUUAAAAACACAGCACUGUGCAAACACGAAAGUGGACGUAUACGGUGUGACGCCUGCCCGGUGCCGGAAGGUUAAUUGAUGGGGUUAGCGGCAACGCGAAGCUCUUGAUCGAAGCCCCGGUAAACGGCGGCCGUAACUAUAACGGUCCUAAGGUAGCGAAAUUCCUUGUCGGGUAAGUUCCGACCUGCACGAAUGGCGUAAUGAUGGCCAGGCUGUCUCCACCCGAGACUCAGUGAAAUUGAACUCGCUGUGAAGAUGCAGUGUACCCGCGGCAAGACGGAAAGACCCCGUGAACCUUUACUAUAGCUUGACACUGAACACUGGUCCUUGAUGUGUAGGAUAGGUGGGAGGCUUUGAAGCGUGGACGCCAGUCUGCGUGGAGCCAACCUUGAAAUACCACCCUUUAAUGGCUGGUGUUCUAACGUAGACCCGUAAUCCGGGUUGCGGACAGUGUCUGGUGGGUAGUUUGACUGGGGCGGUCUCCUCCCAAAGAGUAACGGAGGAGCACGAAGGUUGGCUAAUCCUGGUCGGACAUCAGGAGGUUAGUGCAAUGGCAUAAGCCAGCUUGACUGCGAGCGUGACGGCGCGAGCAGGUGCGAAAGCAGGUCAUAGUGAUCCGGUGGUUCUGAAUGGAAGGGCCAUCGCUCAACGGAUAAAAGGUACUCCGGGGAUAACAGGCUGAUACCGCCCAAGAGUUCAUAUCGACGGCGGUGUUUGGCACCUCGAUGUCGGCUCAUCACAUCCUGGGGCUGAAGUAGGUCCCAAGGGUAUGGCUGUUCGCCAUUUAAAGUGGUACGCGAGCUGGGUUUAGAACGUCGUGAGACAGUUCGGUCCCUAUCUGCCGUGGGCGCUGGAGAAUUGAGGGGGGCUGCUCCUAGUACGAGAGGACCGGAGUGGACGCAUCACUGGUGUUCGGGUUGUCAUGCCAAUGGCACUGCCCGGUAGCUAAAUGCGGAA